rnacentral:rRNA from 1 species
CAGGAUGAACGCUAGCUACAGGCUUAACACAUGCAAGUCGAGGGGCAGCGGGAUUGAAGCUUGCUUCAAUUGCCGGCGACCGGCGCACGGGUGAGUAACGCGUAUCCAACCUUCCGUACACUCAGGGAUAGCCUUUCGAAAGAAAGAUUAAUACCUGAUGGUAUGAUGAGAUUGCAUGAUAGCAUCAUUAAAGAUUUAUCGGUGUACGAUGGGGAUGCGUUCCAUUAGGUAGUAGGCGGGGUAACGGCCCACCUAGCCAACGAUGGAUAGGGGUUCUGAGAGGAAGGUCCCCCACAUUGGAACUGAGACACGGUCCAAACUCCUACGGGAGGCAGCAGUGAGGAAUAUUGGUCAAUGGACGAGAGUCUGAACCAGCCAAGUAGCGUGAAGGAUGAAGGUCCUACGGAUUGUAAACUUCUUUUAUAAGGGAAUAAACCCUCCCACGUGUGGGAGCUUGUAUGUACCUUAUGAAUAAGCAUCGGCUAACUCCGUGCCAGCAGCCGCGGUAAUACGGAGGAUGCGAGCGUUAUCCGGAUUUAUUGGGUUUAAAGGGAGCGCAGACGGGUCGUUAAGUCAGCUGUGAAAGUUUGGGGCUCAACCUUAAGAUUGCAGUUGAUACUGGCGUCCUUGAGUGCGGUUGAGGUGUGCGGAAUUCGUGGUGUAGCGGUGAAAUGCUUAGAUAUCACGAAGAACUCCGAUUGCGAAGGCAGCACACUAAUCCGUAACUGACGUUCAUGCUCGAAAGUGUGGGUAUCAAACAGGAUUAGAUACCCUGGUAGUCCACACGGUAAACGAUGGAUACUCGCUGUUGGCGAUAUACUGUCAGCGGCUUAGCGAAAGCGUUAAGUAUCCCACCUGGGGAGUACGCCGGCAACGGUGAAACUCAAAUGAAUUGACGGA